CAUUUUCAAUCUCCAACUUGUCUUCCUUGAUAAUAUUGAGUUUAUAUGACAACAGUCUCACAGGAUGUAUCCCAAUUUUCCAAAAUCUUCAGGAAUUGUAUCUCCAUAACAACAACUUCAAAGGACUUAUUCCUCCGAAUAUCUGGAAGUGCAAAAAUCUUGAGAUCUUGAACUUGAACUACAACAAUCUCAGUGGCAACAUCCCUCGUACAAUUGGAAAUAUGAGCAUGCUUAGAGAGUUGCACUUGGGUUGCAACCAUUUCACAGGUGAAUUACCACAAGAGAUUGGCACUCUGCCAAUGCUUGAGACUUUCACCGUGUUUAACAAUUCCUUAUAUGGAUUGAUCCCAUCUUCCAUAUUCAACAUAUCAACUUUGAAGAAUUUACAAGUUACAUAUAAUGAGUUUUCAGGUACUCUUCCAUCAGAUUUGGGGAAUUCACUUGUCACUCUUGAAAAGCUCAUUUUGGGUUUUAACUUAUUUAGUGGCUCAAUUCCAAGCUCUAUCGCCAAUGCUUCCAAACUUACAAGUUUGAUAUUGGUUGCCAACUUAUUUAGUGGCUCUAUACCCCACUUCGGUGAUUUGAAGUUCUUACAACUCCUUUCCCUUUCGGAAAAUAAUUUGAGUGGGGCAGAAUUCACAACUCAGGAACUGACAUCUCUCUCUUCAUUAAGUAAUUGUAGACAAUUGAAGUACCUGGAUGUAAAUAGCAAUCCACUAAAUGGCAUCCUACCUGCUUCACUAGGAAAUUUUUCCUCAUCUCUUGUGUUUUUUGAUGUAACAAACUGCAGCAUCAUAGGUGACAUUACUUCUGAAUUAGGAAACUUAAGUAGUUUGCUAGCUCUAAGUUUAACUAGAAAUCAGUUGAGUGGACUCAUUCCACCAACAAUUGGGAAAAUGAAGCAACUCCAAAGAUUUAAUCUUGAUGGAAAUCAGUUGGUAGGAUCUAUCCCUAACCAACUUUGCCAAAUGAAUCAUUUGGGGGAGUUGUACCUAAGCAUGAACAUGCUUGUGGGUCCCAUACAUGAAUGCUUAGGUGAUGUUAAAUCCUUGAGAGUCAUCUCCUUAGGUUACAACCAAUUGAAUUCUACCAUUCCUCCUAACUUGUGGUUCUCAAGGACCUUUUGGCUUUGAGCUUGGUCUCCAAUAAUUUGAGUGGUCAAUUGUCAUCCGCGCUUGGAAAUUUCAAGUUAAUCUAUCAUUUGGACUUGUCGUCUAAUCAAUUUUCAGGUGAUAUUCCUACCUCAAUUGAUGAUUGUCAAACACUAGAGUUUCUUAACUUAUCAAAUAAUUUUCUUAGUGGAUCCAUUCCUCAAUCCUUGGCAAAGGUUAAAGUUUUGGUAACAUUGGAUUUAUCUUACAAUAAUCUUUCUGGAUCAAUACCCAAACUCUUGGAAGACCUAUGUUGUCUUGAAAAUUUUAAUGUUUCCAACAACAAACUGGAAGGGAGAAUUCCAGAUGGUGGCUGCUUUGGUAACUUCAGUGCACCGUCUUUUUCUGACAACUUAGCUUUGUGUGGUCUAAUAACAUUUCAAGUUGCACCCUGUCCAGAAAGCCAUCAUAGAUCAUGGUUAAAGAAGCUCAUGGUGUCAUUAGUGAUUUUAGCUGUCAUUGUGGCGAUUGCAUUGCUUGCUUUCAUACGGAUGUGUAAACAGAAAAAAGUACCCCUCUUGGUUCAUUUUUCAGCACAAAUUACUGAAUGCAUAGGAAUUCCUUACAAUGAACUUGAACGAGGAACAAGUUCAUUUAGCGAAACCAACCUACUUGGAAGAGGUAGCUUUGGUUCUGUAUUCGAAGCAACACUUUCGGAUGGGUUGAAAGUUGCUGUAAAAGUGUUCAACUUGGAACUACAAGGAGCAGCAAGGAGCUUUGGUGUUGAAAGUUCUAUAUUGAGCAGCAUUCGACACAGAAAUUUAGUUCGGGUUAUUGGAUAUUGUUGUAAUGUGAACUUUAAAGCAUUAAUUCUCACAUACAUGCCAAAUGGGAGCUUGGAUCAAUGGUUGCAUUCCAACAAUUAUAGUGUGGAUCUUAUACAGAGGUUGAAAAUAGCAAUAGACGUUGCGGCCGCCAUGGAAUAUCUUCACCAUGGCUAUACAUUCCCAAUUGUUCACUGCGAAAUAAAACCAAGCAAUGUGUUGCUUGAUCAAGACAUGGUUGCCCAUCUUGCUGAUUUUGGCAUUUCCAAGCUUUUCAAUGGAGGCGAAACUAUCCUUCAAACACAAACAAUGGCAACCAUCGGUUAUGCAGCACCAGAGUUUGGAAUAGAAGGGAAAGUUUCAAUAAAUGGAGAUGUAUAUAGUUUUGGGAUACUGCUGCUGGAGAUGUUUACCGGAAAGAGGCCAAUGGACGAUAUGUUCGAUGAAGAAAGAAGCUUAAAACAGUGGGUAAGCGAAGCACUAGAGCAAAAUACCGCAACUCAAGUGAUGGCGUCUGCUUUGCUGUCAAGGGAAGAUCAAUAUUACUCUGCCAAGGAGAAAUGCAUGUUAUCAACAUUUGAAUUGGCAAUGAAAUGUUUAGUUGUUUCAGCAGACGAAAGGAUCAGUAUGAUUGAAACAGCGGCCGCUCUGCACAAGAUUUAUGCCACAUUUGUAGCGGGAACUCAAUGGCGUCGUCCAUGAAAUUUUCCCUCCAAAUCUCCACCGCAUUCGGCAUCAUUUUGUAGCCGCAAUCAGCCCAUGGCUCCACCCGGUGAUUCGCCUACCUCUAUGCGCUAGCUACAUGCCACGGCGAGAGGAUUAAAAGCAGAUUCAGAAUUCUGCUUUGGAUCGAUUCUGGCUCUGGAUCGGAGAGGUUCAGAAAAGAAUAUUUAGGUUUAAGGAUUUUAACUGUGUUCCAUCUGUCUUAAUUGUUUAGGACCAAAUUAUAAUUUAAUUGUUGUAAUUAAAUCAGGCCCAGAGACUUAUAGAAUUAAUUAAUUCUUGGACUUUUAUGCUUGGGAAGGAAGGCCCAAGUGUAAUUA